GGCUCGCGCCCUCUCCCCACGAGGCAGCGCUCAAGUGAGGAGGGGAGAGCGGCGGAUAGGAAGGCGAUUCUGGCUGGAGAUGCUGGCUUCGGUGAGGACCGCAAGGAGAGGCCCUGAGCAAGACACGGAGGGAGAGAGCUCGCCUUAGCCAGCCCCGAAAGGAGAGACUAGGAUCUGCUGCUGCACCCGGGGGCUGGCCUGCUGAAUAAAGCCCAGUGAAGGAUUUGAAAAGAGCUUGGAAAUCCUUCUCAAUACAGCCCCAGUGGUUCCCAUCAGAAUCGCUGGGAAAAUGGGAUGAAGCCAGUAUCCCCCCCUCAGCACCAACGACCGAAGGCGACAAAGGGUGGCACCAGCCUCAUCCCGUCCCAAGACGCAGGGCGCCUAGGCUUCCUCCCAUUGGCUCUUGAGAGUGUCCUGGGGUUGGCCCUGGACUCCCUUUCUUCCCUCUGAGACCAACACUUCAGACCACAUCUGUUUGAGGCUCCAAAAUAAGGGCAAGGCUGCCCGUGUGGACUGACCAACCAGUUUGUUCUCGUUGCUUUCCCUUCAUGCCAACUCCACCCCUUCCCAGCAAAUGCCCCCUUGGAAAGGCUCCGGUGCCCUUGUUUGCACUGAGGUGAAUGGAGUCUUGCUACGGGGCUCGGUGGGCACCGUUUGGUCCCGUCUCCCUCCCAGACGGGCCAAGUGUGAGCGUGUAAGAGUCCAUGCAAGCCCGUAGCCCCGAACUCCUUGUCAAGUUUUAGAAUCGGCUACAGGGGGGAAGGAAAAUGCUGGGUCUUCUGGCCCCCACCCUUGCAUUUGGGAUUCCUUUAGGAAAGAGAGUAAUAAGGACAAAACAGAGCUCCCACGGGCCUCAAGAUACCCUCACAGCGAAGACUGGCCCCGGCGCCAGCAAAACUACCAUCUUCCCUCAGCUCCACAUCAGCUGCUGGUCACUGCUUCCCGCCACAGUGAAGGAGCAAAAACACUUAGGCUGAGUGCCUUUCUGUUUUAUCCAUCAUGUUCCUUCAUCUGCUGCCAUGAUUUCCUCAGUCUACCUUCCCUCUCUGCCCCCCAAACACCUCAGGGGGUGUGUGUCCAGUCCAUCUGAAUUAAAUCGCCAUCUGGGUCCUACUCUUAGACUUUUUCUUUUGAGUGCCUUUCUCCUUCUGCAGGCCCACAUCCAACCCAUCUGUCCAGACACCUUGAAAACUGCCUUCCAGAGUCUUCUCUCUGUCUCUUUGUCUCUGUGUGUCUCUCUGUGUGUGUCUUUCUAUGUGUCUCUCUAUGUGUGUCUCUGUGUGUCUCUCUCUGUCUUUGUCUCUGUCUUCCUGUCUCUCUAUCUCUCUCUUGUCUCCCUCUGUCUCUCUGUCUCUCUCUCAACCCUGAGAGAAUGCUUGAGUGCCUUACUGUUAACUUUCCCUCUUGUCCUGGGUUGUUUGUGCAGAGCGAGUAUUCCCUUGUAUGCCCCGCCCCCAAGGCUCAAGCUCUCAGAUCUGAGGCAUCCCUCUUUGAGGUUCCCCUUCCUCCAAAACCCUCCUCCAGUGCCCAGGAUCUAGUACCUGUGCUGAAUCAGUGAAGGGAGACGGUGGUACAGUCUGGAGUCAUGGUUCUGACACUGUGGGAUGAGGUGAUGGGGUGGUAGGGAGGGAGAUGGUGGCCAUGAUGGAAACUGGCCCGUAACCUUCCCCUGGGCAGCCUCCUUUAGGCUUUCAUUUGGUAGCUGAAUAACUCUGCUUUGGAAGAAAAAUUAAGAUGCCAGGCAGGUGCCAACAGCCAAGCACCACGGCUCUAUUGACUAAGGCUCUGCCAUCUAGGCCCUUUCUUCCUGUGAACAAAUGGAACGUUUUAUGGGAAGAUAGAAAGAACAGUCCUAGAUGGCAAUGUGGAAGGUCCUUUGGCCAAGACAGCCCUCAGGAGAGAACACAGUGCAGCCAUAAUUUAUUGCAUUCGAUAUUUUCACGUCCAACCUUAUUUUUAUAGACAUUAUUUCAUAGGCUCCAGCUUAAACACAGAUGGAAAAGAUUCUGGCUUUGUAAUAAGAGAUGGAUUAUGGUGGGCCCACCCCGCUGCUCUGUGCCUGUUUGUGUAUGUGCAUUCACACCACAGCACGAAGGGCAACUUGCAGGAGUCAGUUCUCUCCUUCCGCCUUGUGGCUUCUGGGGAUCGAACUCAGGUCCUUAAGCCUGGUGGUAAACCGCCUUUACUUGUUCUGCCAGUUGACGGUGAGAGGUGGUUGCUUGGUGAUGCGAAUUUCUCAUUCAAUCAAGCGGCAGCAGGGCCUGAAGCCUGAAGCCAAAUGCAGCCUUGACGAUGAGCUGAAGUGUGGAUUAAAUUUCCAGCCCUACUGCAUACACACAAAUAAAGGAUCUCCCACUGGUCUGUCCAACUGAAGAUGAGGUCCUGGCCUUCUGGACCCCAAACUACCUCCUCCCAGACGGAUAAGAUAUGGUGGUGGCAGAAAAGGACAUGGCCACCCUUCACCCUGAGUACUCAAGCGUGGGUCCUCCUGUGUUCGCACACCAGGGACCCCCCCCCCCCAAGCUGAUCUGUAUGGAUUUUGUUGUUGCUUUGUUUUUGAGAAGCGGGACAGGGUUUUCACUCUCUUUCCAAGUCCUUUUCUUCCUAGACACUUAGCACCCCUCCUUCUCCUGAUCUCUUCUGGUCCAGGGACUCGGGAACGUGGAGGGCAACUCAGCAAAGACCUUUUCUCAAGUCCUACGCAUUGUCUUGUGAGGAGGGGCAAUGCUGCCCCCUGCUGGUUCCAGCAUGAGAAGCAGCCCACAGGGGCAACCAGGUUCCUUCCAUUUCCCUGGGAGACAGCAUCUUACACGUGAAGGAACCUUAUUCCCUUUGCCCAAACAGCCUCCGGCUUGUCUUGACAUGGUUCUCUGGUGUGCAGGCUGAGUAUCAUCGUCCCUUCUCCCAAGGGUUUGGAACUUUAUUUGACCAUCCAUGCUGUUUCAUCCACAUGACUGUCUAGAUUUUGUGCACGUGAGAAUGAGGACACUGGCCGCUAGAGUAGACUUCAUUUAGUGACUUAGACUUUAUUGUGUCUCCUAGGCAACUACAUGUGGAUAUGGCAUGGGAUGUUCUUUAUUGCUUGGGUCUAGGCACCUUUGUUAAUUCUGGCAUCAAUGAUCACCUUGGGGUCUCCACAACAAACCUACAGAACUCUUUGGAAGGCAGGAUCCCCUGCAUAGGUGUAUUCAGAAAUGCACUGGACAGUCACACGGAUAGCAGAAUUGCUCUUUUUCUUGUC